GCCUUUCUGCUUUAUGUAACCUGUGGUAUAUAUUAAACUCUUUAUGCCAAGUGUGAAGACUUCUCAGUACAAACACAUGGGUUCUAGCCUGCCAAGGCUCACAUGUGGAAUAAAGCAGCACUUAAAACUAAGAGACACAAUAUAACCUAGCAGAAAAGCUUCCAUAACCUCUGUUUCAUGAUUUAGCAAGCUAGCCACUGGGACUGUUAGCACAGAGGCAAAUUUUGGGUUUAGAAUAUGAGAGGGGUUAACUAUGUAACACCCUGUUGUGCUUAGGAGAACAUACAGACAACUAGUGCUACUUGGUAAGCAAGUACUCUUUACAUAGAGGAAAGGCAGAAUAUCAAUAGUGCUUAAGAAGACCGUUAAUUAAUACUUCUCCUGCAUUGUAUAGUUCUCCAGUUUUGAGCCACACUCCAGAAUAGCUAAAAGCCCAGUGGUCAGGAUACUCGCCUGGGAUGUGUGGGAGACCCAGGUUUAAGUUCCUGCGCUGCCUGAUCCAGGAGAGAGACUUGAACCUAUGUCUCCUACAUCCCAGGUGAGUGCUCUAACCAGUGGGGUGUAUCUCUCUGGUUAUGACCUAGACGUGAGAGACUUUCCUAACAAAAGUCAUCAAAACUGACUUACUGAUUAGUUAAAACACGCAAAUUAUUUUCCAAUAAAUGUUUAAUCAAAUUUCAGAUCAGCAUUAUUUU